UACGUAGGCAGCAAGCGUUGUUCGGAGUUACUGGGCGUAAAGGGUGCGUAGGCGGCCCUGUAAGUAUGGUGUGAAAUCUCCCGGCUUAACUGGGAGGGUGCGCUAUAGACUGCGGGGCUCGAGUGUAGGAGAGGAAAGUGGAAUUCCUGGUGUAGCGGUGAAAUGCGUAGAUAUCAGGAGGAACACCGGUGGUGUAAACGGCUUCUGGACCAUAACUGACGCUGGAGGCACGAAAGCGUGGGUAGCAAACAGG
rnacentral:rRNA from 1 species